GGAAAGGAUUGCGGUCAAAUGCGAGCCCCGCCUAACGGCGCCGGGCGGGUUCGAGCCGCGCGGUCCCUUCCCCUCUUGGCUUUCAGCCGGCGUAAUGCUCCCCCCUCCGACAUCGCGCCCGGCUGGUGUAACCACUAGGCGGCUGCUUAGGAUGCCAAGAUUUGGGGGCACCAAAAAGCAGUGUCUGGCAUCAUGGCAGUCAACUGAGUGGGGCAGGGUGGGGAGAGAGGCCUCCAUAACCUGCCCCCGCAGCGAGGGGCGCCACGCAGGAUGGUCAGUGGGAGCCUGUCACGAAGCGAGGAGACAGCUGACCGGGCAUGGCGACCAGCACGGCCAAGGGACAGAGCUGUUGGGGGAGGCAGGAUGCAGUCCUGAGUUCAGUGUGGAAAUUGAUUCAACAUAAAGAAUGCCCCCGUCUCCAUACCGUAAAGUAGUACAUUUGAGAGCCAUGGAUUUCAGAGGCUCGCAUAUACAACAGGUACAGAAUGGACAAAUUUAUACCAAGGAUUGCAAACACAAGACAUGCCAAAGAAGACUUCCUCACCAUAUCCAGGUUGUUGUCCUGGAUAGUUUUGCUGAUUUGGGUACUGUUGCUGUGAAUAUGUUUGCUGUUGCGCAGCUCCCUGUUGGUAUCCUGCCUGUGGCUGGCUAUACUGGGAAUUUCCUAGAAAGGGGAAGAUUGAUAUAGUUUAUGUACAGACUCAGCAGCUGUCCCAAUAUAGUUGCUGUUCACGCUGAAAAUAACUGAAUGAGGUUUGUUGAUAUGAAAAGGGUAUUCCUUUAAAAAAGAGCCUGCCUUCCACUAUAUUUUACUCAUCAGUAAAGAGGAGGUUAUUCCUCUAGUUAUUUUUAGCUCAUUUGAAGAGGCUGUGUUUGUUUCACGUAUGAAAAAAGUUUUCUUUAAGAAGUCUACAUGCACAUUCUCCCCUCUCCCUCCCACCAGCUGCUCCCUUUUCCUCUUACAUUUUAAACAUCAGCUCUCUUUUAAUCAAAAAUUUAAAAAUAAAAUAUAUGUUUUAAAAGAGCACAAUAACUUUGUUUCCACACAUUACAAAUUAGGAAAAAUAUACACUCCUAAUUAUAUAUUUUUCUUUUGAUAACACAUAAAGACCAAGUAAAGUCUAUUCCAGGGGAGGCCAAACUGUGGCUUGUGAGCCUCAUGCGGUUCUUUUACAGUUAAAAUGCAGCUCUUGGAGCCUCUCAUGUCUCCCCAUUCUCUGCCUACCAGACUGAUUGGGGGAGCUUGGGGCUUCAGCCCUUCGGCGAGGUGGUGGAGCUAGGGGCUUCUGUCCAGCAGAGAGUGGAGUCUAGGGGUCUCAGCCCCAUGGGAGGCACCUGCCAGGGCUUGGGGCUUCAGCAGAAAUGGGGCUGAAGUCCCGAGCUUUGGCAGGCAAGCCCUGCGGGGAUGAAGCCCUGAGACCACCCCAGGCCCCACAUGACAGAAGCCUCUAGCCCCACCACCCCGCUGAAAGGCUGCAGCCCCAGGCCCCGGCAGGCACACCCCAGCUCUCAAACUUCUGAAGAUUGUAGUAUGCAGCUCUGGUCAGUAAGUUUGGCCAUCCCUGGUCUAUUCAAGUGCACAUCCUACAGUUUGUACACAGUCAUAUUCAUGUAUUUAUUUGGAUACUCAUAGUAUCUAGCAUUCUUUAAGAAAACUGACUUUUAAAUUUGUGGGUGAUCAAAAUUUCCCCAAUAUACCCCAGCCUAUUUGAACUGCAAAGGCUUAUCCUUAAUUCACUAAAUUUUAUUUUCCAUUAAGUUGAUAUUUUGGCUUUCCUCUAGUUUGUGGUAAUCUACAAAAAGCAAGUGGGUUGAAAAGGAAACAUUACCACACAAAGCUUCUGUGUGACCAAAACAUUGGGCCUGAAUCUUCACUCCUUUACAGCUGGUAGUCAUUACACUGAUGUAAAGUGGGUAUAAAAUGUUACCCAAUCAGAACAGUAGCAUUUAACGGCCAUUUUAUCCAGGUAUAAAGAACUACACAAGGUGUGAGGCAAACAAGUAUCAGGCGUGUUGACUUUUAAGGAAAAUAAAACAUAAUAGAAGUUAAGGCUAAACCACUGUGGUUUGAAUUAAUUACUGCACAAUGGAGAAACUCUGAUCGCUUAAAAUAAUAAAGAAAUUUACUUCAUGUUCUAUCUUCCUACGUGUUUUUGUAAGACAGAUUUUCAGAAAUGACAUGUAUUUUAGAUUGCAGGGAUCACUUACCUUCAGUACUGUGUUGA